rfam:Pongo abelii chromosome 7.
AUAAAGGAUCUAUUAGAUCCACCCUCAAAUUAUAAAGGAUCACAU